ACGAACGCUGGCGGCGUGCCUAACACAUGCAAGUCAACUUGACUGAAGGAGCAAUCUGACAGUAGAGUGGCGCACGGGUGCGUAACGCGUAAGUAACUUGCCCCAAGGUAAGGAAUAACGUCGAGAAAUCGGCGCUAAUACCUCAUAAUGCAGCGGAUCCGCAUGGAUAUGUUGUUAAAGGUUUACCGCCUUGGGAUAGGCUUGCGUCUGAUUAGCUAGUUGGUGUGGUAACGGCACACCAAGGCUACGAUCAGUAACUGGUCUGAGAGGAUGAUCAGUCACACUGGAACUGAGACACGGUCCAGACUCCUACGGGAGGCAGCAGUGAGGAAUAAUGGGCAAUGCUCGAAAGAGUGACCCAGCAACGCCGCGUGGAGGAUGAAGGUAUUCUAUAUCGUAAACUCCUGUGAGAGCAGACGAAAGACAGAUUAUUAAUCUGGAUGACUGUAUGCUCAGAGGAAGCCCCGGCUAACUACGUG
rnacentral:rRNA from 1 species